GGGUUUCACCAUGUUGCUCAGGGUGGUCUUGAACUCCUGGACUCAAGUGAUCCACUCCCUUCAGCCUACCCAGGUGCUGGGAUUACAGGCCGUUGAGUUCAGCUUAUGGUGAUGGAAAGAGAGAUGUCAAUAAUUCCACAUUUUCUGGCUUGCAUUGUUUGAUGAAAGGUGACCCCAUUCCCUGAGUUAAAGAAUGCUGAAAGAAGACCAGGCUUGAGGAGGAAGGAUCAUGCAUUUGCUUUUGGACCUGUAGAGUUUGAGGACAUGUUCAGCACCAGGAGGAAUUUGCAUCCAAGUCCGUCUCCCUGCUAAGUGGUAUUUUGAGAAUUCCGAAGCUUAGUCUCAGAGAAGAGCUGACCUGAACUUGCCGAGGCUCCCACUGCAUUGUAGCUUUUCUCUGGAGAACAAAAACUGCCAUUGUCCAGCAGCUCAUUAGCAUGACUGUACAGCCUCCGGAGUUAGCAAGGUGAUGCAAAAAUAAUAUGACAAGAUCCAUGUCUUCAAUGAGCUACAAUCCUACUGGGACAUGAGACUGUGCUUAUAAUAUGAUGAAAGAAUAAGAAAAUUUUAAAGAUGAAAACACAGCAGCAACAGGUGCCAUUUUGGAAGCAAGAAGCAGAGAACAAGCUCUCACUGGGCAUUAAAUCUGCCGGCAUCUUGAUCUUGAACUUCUCAACCUCCAGAACUCUGAGAAAUAAAUUUCUAUUAUUUACAAAUUACCCAGUCUAAGGUGUUUUGUUAUAGCAGCUCAAACAAAUUAAGAUAUCUGUUUAUUGCUUUUGGUAUGUGUUUGUGUUUUAAUUUUCUUGGAAGGUAGAGCAGAGAGACAAAAAUCACCAAAUUUUGGUGACAUGGUUGAAGCUCUGGGUCAAACCAAUCUUUGAGUCCAGCCUCUGAACCUCGCAUUAAAGUCCUUUAUAGUUUAGAUUGGUUAGGAUUAGGUCUCUUGAUGUUUGUUUUCACCUUGAGGGUUCCUAACUGCUACGGGGAGUCAGUGUGAUUUAACUCUAAGUGAAGAAGAACAGUUUAGAGGGAUGAUCCUGCACAUCUGCAUGGUGAUUGAAUUUAUGUCUCCUAUAAUUGUAUAUACAAAAUGAAAGUUUGGACUCUACAGGACAGGAGACUUUCCCCAACUUCUACCCUCCUUUAUCUUUUGCUGAUUAGUAUUGCAACAGGCACCUAACCAAACUCUCUGGCUCUGGGCCUGUGCUGUGUCUUCUAAUCUUCACACAGCUGCCAGCAUUAUCUUUAAAAGACAGAUCUUAUUAUUUUACACACAAAACAGACACACAUCUCCAUGCAGCAUCUGCUUAAAGUGUUUCUGUGGUUCCUGAUUGCUGACUGGAUUUCACUCAACUUUUUAGCAUGGCCCACAUGGAGCUACCUCUGCCCCACCUUUUCAGUUUCAACUCUUAGGACCCUCUCCUACAAACAUUGGGGUUCACUGUACCCUGAACAUGUGAUAGUCUUGCGUGUCUCCAAGCCUUUGCAUCUGCUAUUCCCCAUGCAUGCAAGGUCUUGCUCUUACUUUCUGUACAGGAGAACUCCUCUUCACCUUUGAAAACCCUCAACUCAAAUACCAAUUGGUUAAGACAUAUUUCUUGAUGUCCCCUGACAGAACCACUAGGAUGUGUAUGACUUAUUAUAGGAAUUUGACAUUUCACAACUGUGGGCGCUAGUUAGUUGGUAAACAGCCUUUGGGAGGUUGUUGUGUUUAUCUUGAAGGCAGGAAGUUGAAAAGGGAAAAUGGAAAAGAAGAACAAAUUGGGACCUGAAUGGUGCCUAUGAGGAUGAACUGGAACCCGUGUUGGUCUGGAACCUUGGUUGGAAAUCCAAGCUUUCAACUUUAAUGAUGCGGAUGUUCUGCAAGAGAAGCUGGUGCACUUUUUCAUGCUUGAUAUGCACCUGGCCCAGGAGUCAGAGAAGCUGAAAAACGAUCCAGCAGGAGCUGGAGUCUGUGUGGGCCUUGUUGUUGCACCACCGUCCGCCUCCAGGCAAGACAACUG
rnacentral:lncRNA from 1 species